CAGGGGAACUCAUCAGAGGGGAGAUUGGGGCCAAAGGACCCCCAGGGAGGAUGCAGGACCACUGCUCAGCCUGAGCAGGGCUGGGACAAGAAUGAGAGUUCCUGUAAAUGUCUCCUGUACAAAAAGAGCAGUCAGAUUGAUCAAACGAAAAUAUAGGACCCCAGUUAAAUUAGCAGCAUCAUCUGUUGAAGACGAACUCUGUCAAAUCGCCCUCAGUACCUGGCGCUUAACUGCGCAACAGCCCUCAGUCGGUCCCGAUUAUUCUCCAUAUGUUCCAGGCAUCUACGGUAAAAGGCGGGAGAAGCCCGAAGACACGGGGCUCCUUCUGGGACUGCCCAGCGCUCCUCUCCUCCCCGCACACCCUUUCCCUCUGCACCCCACAUCUCUGCUGGAGCCACGAGUCCUCCCCCUCUGACCCCCGCUGGGCGCUCCCAGGGAAUUCAGGAUCUCCCCCCAGGAGCGAUGCAAGAUGCUCAGAGCCUCAGUGAAGACCUGACCCUCUGCCCAAAGUCGGACUGGGUCACGGCCUCUCCCCACCGUCCCGCCCCUGUCCUAGCUCCCACUGCCCCGCUCCCCUGUAGCGUGGUACCUGGUCCAGGGUGCUGUGCUGGCCUCCAUGAGUCAGUUUCUUCACCGUCCCUGGCUCUGAGUCUUCUGUUUCUGUGCUCGGUCACAGCCUGUGGCCUCCUACAAGCACCAGGAGCCUCCUACAAGCACCAGGCCUACUCUUCAAGUACCAGGAGCCUUAUAUACAAUCAGAGCGCCUGGAAACCGCUGUGUCAGCAGAGUUGGGCCUCACCCCUUCCUGAACUCUGGCCACUCAUGACACCGUGAACUUCUCCGCCCAAACGUCAUACGUUCACAGAGAAGUUUAAGUUUCUUUUUCCCUGUUCUGACAAAGGCCCGACUUGGAUGCCACCAGGACUGACCAUGGGCCAGUGAGGUCUGCGAGAGUGCGGUCAUCUGGGCAGCAGGGACCAGCAAGGCGGGCGGUGAGGGGACAGAUGAAAGGACAGGUGUCCGUACCCUGGAGGACAAGCUCCAUGGUG